rnacentral:rRNA from 1 species
UACGGGGGGGGCAAGCGUUGUUCGGAAUUACUGGGCGUAAAGGGCUCGUAGGCGGCCAACUAAGUCAGACGUGAAAUCCCUCGGCUUAACCGGGGAACUGCGUCUGAUACUGGAUGGCUUGAGUUUGGGAGAGGGACGCGGAAUUCCAGGUGUAGCGGUGAAAUGCGUAGAUAUCGGGAGGAACACCUGUGGCGAAAGCGGCGCACUGGACCACAACUGACGCUGAGGCGCGAAAGCGUGGGGAGCAAACAGG